CUGGUGGAGUGAAGGUGCUGCGCGUGACCUGCAGCUCGGGCUUGGGGCCCAGGUGGGGGCCGGCUGGGCGGGCAGGGGGAGGCGGUGGCCCGGCGUGUAGGUCGAGGCGCCCUUAACAUUGAGCAGGCUGAAGGGAGGGCCCCCCUCCCCGCUCUCUGCAGUGGUGGCGGCCGCCGUGCCUCGCUGGGCCGCGUGGGCUGGGCCGGACCAUUGUACGGGGGGGUGGGGAGCGUGGCGCCUGAGGCCGCUAUCCGUUCAGGCAGCCAUGGAGGCGACAUCGGGGCCGGGACACGCCGGAGCUGCGGAUGUACCUUCUCGCAGGAAGAUGACUUGAAGUAAAGAAGCCUGGUCUUUUCAGAUAGAUGUGACACAACAGGAUGGGGCCAGGUUGCUCUUCUGGGAUGGCCCAAAUCUGAAGCUCUUCACAAGCCCUAUGGAAGGUGGUGAGACAGCAGAGCAGGAGAGUCUCCUGGGUGGUGAUGGUGCAAACAGCUGGUCUGGGGAGGAAGGAAUCCAACAAACCACGUGAGCUUGGGGACUGGUGUUUGUAGACACAGUGGUUUUCUGUCUGAAGGUGCUAAGAAAUGACAAUGGUUACACUGUCCUGAUUACACAAACAUUAAAGUGAUCUCUUUCAAAAAAA